rnacentral:rRNA from 1 species
GACGAACGCUGGCGGCGCGCCUAACACAUGCAAGUCGAACGAGCAAAGAGGAGCUUGCUUCUCUGAGCGAGUGGCGAACGGGUGAGUAACGCGUGAGGAACCUGCCUCAAAGAGGGGGACAACAGUUGGAAACGACUGCUAAUACCGCAUAAGCCCACGGGUCGGCAUCGACCAGAGGGAAAAGGAGCAAUCCGCUUUGAGGUGGCCUCGCGUCCGAUUAGCUAGUUGGUGAGGUAAUGGCCCACCAAGGCGACGAUCGGUAGCCGGACUGAGAGGUUGAACGGCCACAUUGGGACUGAGACACGGCCCAGACUCCUACGGGAGGCAGCAGUGGGGAAUAUUGCACAAUGGGGGAAACCCUGAUGCAGCGACGCCGCGUGGAGGAAGAAGGUCUUCGGAUUGUAAACUCCUGUUGUUGAGGAAGAUAAUGACGGUACUCAACAAGGAAGUGACGGCUAACUACGUGCCAGCAGCCGCGGUAAAACGUAGGUCACAAGCGUUGUCCGGAAUUACUGGGUGUAAAGGGAGCGCAGGCGGGAAGACAAGUUGGAAGCGAAAUCCAUGGGCUCAACCCAUGAACUGCUUUCAAAACUGUUUUUCUUGAGUAGUGCAGAGGUAGACGGAAUUCCCGGUGUAGCGGUGGAAUGCGUAGAUAUCGGGAGGAACACCAGUGGCGAAGGCGGCCUACUGGGCACCAACUGACGCUGAGGCUCGAAAGUGUGGGUAGCAAACAGGAUUAGAUACCCUGGUAGUCCACACCGUAAACGAUGAUUACUAGGUGUUGGAGGAUUGACCCCUUCAGUGCCGCAGUUAACACAAUAAGUAAUCCACCUGGGGAGUACGACCGCAAGGUUGAAACUCAAAGGAAUUGACGGGGGCCCGCACAAGCAGUGGAGUAUGUGGUUUAAUUCGACGCAACGCGAAGAACCUUACCAAGUCUUGACAUCCUGCGACGGACAUAGAAAUAUGUCUUUCCUUCGGGACGCAGAGACAGGUGGUGCAUGGUUGUCGUCAGCUCGUGUCGUGAGAUGUUGGGUUAAGUCCCGCAACGAGCGCAACCCUUAUGGUCAGUUACUACGCAAGAGGACUCUGGCCAGACUGCCGUUGACAAAACGGAGGAAGGUGGGGAUGACGUCAAAUCAUCAUGCCCUUUAUGACUUGGGCUACACACGUACUACAAUGGCGUUAAACAAAGAGAAGCAAGACCGCGAGGUGGAGCAAAACUCAGAAACAACGUCCCAGUUCGGACUGCAGGCUGCAACUCGCCUGCACGAAGUCGGAAUUGCUAGUAAUCGUGGAUCAGCAUGCCACGGUGAAUACGUUCCCGGGCCU